UGGAGCCAACCUUGAAAUACCACCCUUUAAUGUUUGAUGUUCUAACGUAGACCCGUGAUCCGGGUUGCGGACAGUGUCUGGUGGGUAGUUUGACUGGGGCGGUCUCCUCCCAAAGAGUAACGGAGGAGCACGAAGGUUAGCUAAUCCUGGUCGGACAUCAGGAGGUUAGUGCAAUGGCAUAAGCUAGCUUGACUGCGAGCGUGACGGCGCGAGCAGGUGCGAAAGCAGGUCAUAGUGAUCCGGUGGUUCUGAAUGGAAGGGCCAUCGCUCAACGGAUAAAAGGUACUCCGGGGAUAACAGGCUGAUACCGCCCAAGAGUUCAUAUCGACGGCGGUGUUUGGCACCUCGAUGUCGGCUCAUCACAUCCUGGGGCUGAAGUAGGUCCCAAGGGUAUGGCUGUUCGCCAUUUAAAGUGGUACGCGAGCUGGGUUUAGAACGUCGUGAGACAGUUCGGUCCCUAUCUGCCGUGGGCGCUGGAGAAUUGAGGGGGGCUGCUCCUAGUACGAGAGGACCGGAGUGGACGCAUCACUGGUGUUCGGGUUGUCAUGCCAAUGGCAUUGCCCGGUAGCUAAAUGCGGAAAAGAUAAGUGCUGAAAGCAUCUAAGCACGAAACUUGCCCCGAGAUGAGUUCUCCCUGACCCUUUAAGGGUCCUGAAGGAACGUUGAAGACGACGACGUUGAUAGGUCGGGUGUGUAAGCGUAGCGAUACGUUGAGCUAACCGAUACUAAUGAACCGUGAGGCUUAACCUUACAACGCCGAAGCUGUU
rnacentral:rRNA from 1 species